UUGCACUGUAAACUGGAACUAUCGCACUAUAAGCUUUUUUGGUGUUAAUCACUGGUGGUUAUGGCAGCUAAUGUUACCCUAACUGAUUCCCAGAGCCAAAAGAAACAAUGAAUACAUCACCAAUGGUAACGAGGAAUAAACAGAACUGAAAGAAGCAAUUAUUGGCUAUAUUUAUGCAAAUAAACAUUUGGCUGGAUCACAGGAACCUGUGAGGGUGAUAUAAUUCCAGGUUGAGUUCAGCUGAGGGCAAAGGCACCAGCUCAGAUUAAUCCUUGCUCAGUACAAACUAAAAGCAAACUGAAUACUAAGCAUUUUAUCGCCCUUUCAAAAUACUUAGCAUGUGCUGUUCUCUCUGUGGACAUGUCUCUGGCUACCUGAAGGCAUCCAGCAUGUGAAAAAACAACUCAGACCACACAUUUUCCACCUAUGUUCUUCGGGAUGUGCUGGAGAUGAUAUGUGAAGAGAAAGAGACUCAGCUUAAGACCCGACAAUUCCGCUGAGCAAUUCUGGGAAGAGAAUGAAAAACAUUUUGUUGAUGAGAAUCUGUAUUCAUCAGUUUUUGUACAAGACUAAGAACUCGGCAUGCUUUUACAUUGGAAAUUUGGUAAUUAAUAUCAGCAUCCUGAUUUUCCAUUGGGGAGUAAGUCAACCUUCCUUGGAUAGUAGCAUAGGGACCUUUAUUGUACAUAAGUAACCUGGACUUGGACAGAGUCAAUGAAUUUAUCCACGAAUGGGUAUCUGCCUUCAGUCCAGUGAAAAUCAACCAGGUACUUCUGUACAGCCCGAGGGGGAAUAUGUCCUUUUCUCUGCCUGAAGUUGCCCAUGGUCAUGUUUGUGAUUAUACGGGGUAAACUGAGAAUAAAAUAAUCACAUACAAAAGAAGAAUCAAAAAAAUGAGAUAUGAUCUUGAUAACCUAAUUUAAACUCUAAGUAAUUCUCAUAACAGGAUUUAGUGAACAUUCUAACCCUUUUCCAACAACCCAUCCUGCUACAUGCCUUUAUCAUAAAAUAGCUUCAUAUAUAAAAGCGUCAUGUUAAAGUUAGUUUUACUUUUCCACUUAUAUAGAUUUAAAUAUAUUUUAUUGAAUUAUUAAAACUUUACAAAGUUGGGGCUAAUCCUAGCUCUUGUUUAUACAAUUUUAAAAAUGAUAUUUGUUUAUUUUCCAAAGAACUUUAAGAAUUAUAAAUUACCCAUUAUAAUGUUAAUUUCAAUUGUGUUAAAUUUAGAAUUUUUUUAUUAUACUUUAAGUUCUAGGGUACAUGUGCACAACAUACAGGUUUGCUAUAUAUGUAUACAUGCACCAUGUUGGUGUGCUGCACCCAUUAACUCGUCAUUUACAUUAGGUAUAUCUCCUAAUGCUAUCCCUCCUCUCUCUCCCCACCCCAUGACAGGCCCCAGUGUGUGAUGUUCCCCUUCCUGUGUCCAAGUGUUCUCAUUGUUCAAUUCCCACCUAUGAGUGAGAACAUGUGGUGUUUGGUUUUUUUGCCCUUGCAAUAGUUUGCUGAGAAUGAUGGUUUCCAGCUUCAUCCAUGUCCCUACAAAGGACAUGAACUCAUCCUUUUUCAUGGCUGCAUAGUAUUCCAUGGUGUAUAUGUGCCACAUUUUCUUAAUCCAAUCUAUCAUUGAUGGACAUUUGGGUUGGUUCCAAGUCUUUGCUAUUGUGAAUAGUGCCGCAAUAAACAUACGUGUGCAUGUGUCUUUAUAGCAGCAUGAUUUAUAAUCCUUUGGGUAUAUACCCAGUAAUGGGAUGGCUGGGUCAAAUGGUAUUUCUAGUUCUAGAUCCUUGAGGAAUCGCCACACUGACUUCCACAAUGGUUGAACUAGUUUACAGUCCCACCAACAGUGUAAAAGUGUUCCUAUUUCUCCACAGCCUCUCCAGCACCUGUUGUUUCCUGACGUUUUAAGUAGGCAGGAAUUUGCAUUUGUUCUAUCAGUCUUCUCAACAUUCAUUAUUCAUCUGUAGUUGUCAGUGAAAUACUAUAGGUCUUUUUAGAGAAGAUGUAAACUUCCAUUUAAAAGUAUUUCUGAGUGUUUUAUUAAUAAUAUGAGUUUUUUCUUUCCUUAUUUCUAUCAUUAACUGAUUAUUCUUGUUAAAUGAGAUUAUUAUUAUUUUAUGUAAAAAAUUAAUGUGAAUAUACAUAUGUAAUAUUUGAUCACUCUAUUAAAAUCUUUUAUUAGUCUGA